AAGAACCUAGUAAAUAUAUUACAUGCCUUUGUCAUAGCCAAAUAACAGAACUCUGUGGUUCUUA
rnacentral:tRNA from 1 species